rnacentral:lncRNA from 1 species
CAACUACCAGAUAACAAACAUCAUUGUUCAUUGGUCAAUAUCCACAAAUAGUUCCUCUCAACAUUUAUAGUAGAUUUAGGAAGUUGCUUUCAAUUUCUGUAUUCACUACUUUCAACAAAUGAUUCAUAUGCAUUAUCUGGGUCAGGGCAUGGAAGAGUACAUAACUUAAGCUCACAGCUACGAAUUAGCUUAGGUUGACUUUGUGGUGAAUCCAAGGCAAAUACAUUCGAUUGUUAUGGUCUCUCUCUCUCUCUCUCUCUCUCUCUCUCUCUCUCUCUCUUCAGAGAAAAUAGUAUGGGUUUAUAUCCUUGUCUAGUAUUUCUGUCUUGUACUUAAAGACAUUUUCCGAUAAAUCAUUCCUCUUCCCCUCUUCCAGUUCAGAACUGCCCUAUGACAAAGACUAGAAUUGUUAUUGUCACUCUGCAGAUAAGGAAAGCAUGGCAAAAAGAUGACACAUAGUUGAUGGGUGACAAAGGUGGCAGCAGGAUCCAGGUACUCUCUCCCAUGUUCCUGUGCUAUGUGUCACACAGUCUCCAUAAAGUGGCAGAAUUCUGUGAAGGGAAGUCCCACAUAAUUAAGAUGUUCAGUUCUGCCACCUUCGAAAUGAACAGAAUGGGUCACCCCCUGCACCUGUUUUGCAGAUUGCAUGAAGUCAUGCCUAUGUGUGAAAGUGUUCAUUCAUUCAUUCAUCCAGUAUUCAUGAUGGGGCUCUGUGUGCCAAUAUAGUUCCAGGUACAGAAAAUUAAAUGUUAAAUUUUGUAAACUGCAAUUCCUAUCUCGAGUGCUUCCCUUCUUUUCUUGUCUAUUUUGGCCCAGAAGGCCAGGUCAUGUUGGAGUUCAUCUCAGGAAUCCAGUUAAGUGGGGAUGCUGUGUUCUUGGCCCACAGACCUUAGCAACUGGGCAGCUGGGAAGGACAGCUGCGUGUGCUGUUCACCCCCGCACCCCUGACUCCCACUCACCCCCCUCAUCUGUGACUCUGUGUAAUGUGAAACAUCUUUUAAACCUCCUUUUUUACAUAUUGGCAAACAGACUCCUCAGCAGUAUCGGGGAAAGGCAACAGCAAUGGUCAUAUAGCACCUUGAGUCUGAGGCCCCCUCCCCCCUUCUUACUGUGUGUUUAGUGGUAAAGGUAAAGCUCUGUCUGGGCC